rnacentral:rRNA from 1 species
GAUGAACGCUAGCGAUAGGCUUAACACAUGCAAGUCGAGGGGUAACGUGUUGGAAGCUUGCUUCCGAUGACGACGACCGGCGGAUGGGUGCGUAACGCGUAUGCAACUUGCCUCACAGUGGAGAAUAACCCGGAGAAAUCCGGACUAAUACUCCAUACACUCUUAAGUACGCCUGUACAUGAGAGGAAAGAUUUAUCGCUGUGAGAUAGGCAUGCGUCCUAUUAGGUAGUUGGUGAGGUAACGGCUCACCAAGCCGACGAUAGGUAGGGGUGCUGAGAGGCCGAUCCCCCGCCUUGGGACUGAGACACGGCCCAAACUCCUACGGGAGGCAGCAGUGAGGAAUAUUGGUCAAUGGAGGAAACUCUGAACCAGCCGAGUCGCGUGAAGGAAGAAUGUCCUUAGGAGUGUAGACUUCUUUAGCGAGCGAGUAAGGACUUCCACGUGAUGGGAGUUUGAAAGUAGCUCGAGAAUAAGUAUCGGCUAACUCCGUG